rnacentral:tRNA from 1 species
GGCGGGGCUGGUGUAGGGGGCGUCCUCGUUCCAGUCGAGCCCGAGCGUCAUGGUCAGCGCGUGCUCGAUCGUCAGGUGCGCCUUGCCG